UCUAUCCCAAGUACAACAAUUGCUAACUCUAUCAUCAACCCAUGAACCCAAUUUAUUGUAAGGAUCUGCUCCAUUAUGUGACAAGAAGUAGUGUUUGAUAUCUAGAAGGCCUAUUCUCUCACUCUCUAAACAUCCGUUACAUGAUCCUUCUUCAUUUUGCAUUAACAUUAUUAUCAUCACAAAAUAAAAAAAGGAGCUAAUUAUCAAUCCCAACUUCAUUUUUGACAAAUCUAUGGAUAUAUAUUGUGUUACUUUAUGCAGUUUUAUGAUAUAUUCCUAUAAUCACCUUAUGAUAUAUAGUACUAAAAGAUGAGACUUUUCUAUUGCAAGAUGAUACUUCAUAGAAACACGCACAGGAAAGACUUGGAGUUGACUAGAGAUAAUGACAUUUAGUAGUUUAGUUGUUGCUUUCAUUUUUGUAACCAAAUGGCCGGGAUUCUUAACAUGUUAGUGGUUUGGAGUGGAAAAGAGGUCAUGACUCCAUCUUAUCCCUUUAAAUUAAACUCUUUAACCAAAAAAUCAAUGUUUAUUUUCAGAUUUUAAUUAGUCAAGAGAUAUUUUUAACUCAAAAAUUCAAAUUAGAAUAUAUGUACACAAUGACUAUACCUAAACUAUUGCGUAAAACUAUAACUAAUUUGAAAGUUUAAAUCACAAGUCACUCGAUUUAGGGUCUGUCUGUUUUAGAUUUAAAAAAAUAGAUUUUUUUCUUUGUAUUUUUGAAAAUAGAUUUUUUAAAACCGUUUUUCAAAAUAUUACAAGUUUUUUUACAUUCAUUUUUUCUAAAUUUAAACACUAAUUUUGACAUCAUAUAACAUAUACACACAUUAUUGAAGAUCAAAACAUGGUCAAAAUCACAAUUUUUUCAAAAAGUUGUAUUUCAAAAAUGAUUUUUAUGAAAAUCUAUUUGAAAUAUCUUCAAAAUUAAGAGAUUUUUUGAAAUUUUGAUUUCCAAAAAAUGCUUCAAUGAAAUGAUCAGAUAUCUAAAAUAACAUUUUAAGAAUAACAAUUCAAACAAAAUUUUCAUUCGAAGCUUUUAUAAAAAGUUUCUUUGUAAAAAAAAUUUACACGAAAUUAUUUAACACUAUAAGAAUCUAUUUUAAAAAAUGGUGUUGGUUAUACACACCCAGCCACUUUUGUAAAAGUGUGCAUUAACAUGAUACACCUUUUUAAUUGGACAUUAAAUGCCCUUGCUUUUAUUUUAAAAUAAAUGAAGACCAAAGGACAUGAUUGUAAUUGCAUUUAAGUUUGCAAUUAAAAAUUGGUUUCUGUUAAUUAAAUUCAUUUAUCCUCUUCUCACUACUUCUAUGUCAUGAUUACGUAUCAACCGUCUAAAGUUUUUAGAGCAGUUAAUCCAUUCAAACUUAACAAUAUGUUUGUAUUAUUUAGACGGUUGUCUGAAAGGUCUAAAGUCUCCAACUUUUGUAGUCUAGGAAAACCUUCAAAAGAAGCGGAUCGUAAGAUAUGACAAUCGGAAACUUUUUUCCCAAAAAAAAAAUUCGAAUGUUUUUUCCAAUUUCUUUCCUCCUUAAUAAAUAAGUUUCAUUUGCCUAAAAAAAAUAAAUAAAUUAUAUGAAACUGAACAUACCUUGAGCGGAGAAGCUAUCAAGUGAAUUACCACCAAGGUUCAAAGUUUUUAGACCAGUUAAUCCAUUCAAACUUAACAAUAUGUUUAUAUUAUUUAGACAGUGUCUGAAAGGUCUAAAGUCUCCAACUUUUGUAGUCUAGGAAAACCUUCAAAAGAAUCGGAUCGUAAGAUAUGACAAUUGGAAACUUUUUUUCCCAAAAAAAAAUCGAAUGUUUUUUCCAAUUUCUUUCCUCCUAAUAAAUAAGUUUCAUUUGCGUCAAAAAAAUAAAUAAAUUAUAUGAAACUGAACAUACCUUGAGCGGAGAAGCUAUCGAGUGAAUUACCAUGGAGGUUCAAAGUUUUUAGAGCAGUUAAUCCAUUCAAACUUGACAAUAUGCUUCUAUUAUUUAGACUAUUGUAUGAAAGGUCUAAGGUCUCCAACUUUUGUAAUUUAGCAAAAUCUUCAAAAUAAGCGGAGUAAAUUAUCAUAAGCUUACAUUCAGAGCAUUUUUAAUAGAAUUUUGUCAUUGAAAUUUAACGGAACAAAACAAUAGGUAUGAGACCAAAGUAAAAUUACAAACAAUAAGUUAAUGAACAAUUUAGCUAAAAAAUAACUCAAUCUUAUAAUUGAGAUUUGAACAUCAACUUUUCAUGUUGUGGAAUAACUAGCGGUCUCUUUUAUAAAACUUAAACUCAUUGAUAAAUUAGUAUAAUUUUGAAAAUAUAAUUCAAAUUGUUAACAUAUUUAACGCAAACAAGUAUGAAUUUGAUAAAGAAAUCUUAUAUAUAAAGACAAAUUAAGGUAGUACCUUCCUUGCCCAUCCAGCUUUUAAUUUUGUUCCAGGACAAAUCAAGGAGGCGUAAUUCUUCAAAUGGACGAAACAGAGAAACAUUCAUCAUAUUCAUAGAAUCUGAUGAAAAGUAUAGUAACCAAUCGAGGGAUAGCUCAGUUAUGUGUCCAGAAGAGGUGUUAGAGCACAUGACUCUAUCCCAAGUACAACAAUUACUACCUCUAUCAUCAACCCAUGAACCCAAUUCAUUGUUAUAAUCUCCUCCUUCUUGUGACACUAUGAAGUCUUUGAUCUCCAAUAACCCUAUUCUCUCAUUCUCUAAACAUCCGUCACAUGAUCCUUCUUCAUUUUGCAUUAACAUUAUUAUCAUCACAAAAUAAAAAAAGGAACUAAUUAUCAAUCCCAACUUCAUUUUUGACAAGUCUAUGGAUAUAUAUUGUGUUACU
rnacentral:lncRNA from 1 species